CCUACGGGUGGCAGCAGUGAGGAAUAUUGGUCAAUGGGCGCGAGCCUGAACCAGCCAAGUCGCGUGAGGGAAGACGGCCCUACGGGUUGUAAACCUCUUUUGCCGGGGAGCAACGUGCGCCACGUGUGGCGCCACUGAGAGUACCCGGAGAAAAAGCAUCGGCAAACUCCGUGCCAGCAGCCGCGGUAAUCCGGAGGAUGCGAGGGUUAUCCGGAUUUAUUGGGUUUAAAGGGUGCGUAGGGGGAGCGUAAAGUCAGUGGUCAAAUUGAGGGGAUCAACCCCUUCCCGCCAUUGAAACUGGCGCUCUUGAGUGGAAGAGAAGUAUGCGGAAUGCGUGGUGUAGCGGUGAAAUGCAUAGAUAUCACGCAGAACCCCGAUUGCGAAGGCAGCAUGCCGGAUUCCAACUGACGCUGAAGCACGAAAGCGUGGGGAUCGAACAGGAUUAGAUACCCUAGUAGUC
rnacentral:rRNA from 1 species